rnacentral:lncRNA from 1 species
UCUACGUCACCGGUCAUGUGUCUUGAACAGCCGCUAUCUAGAUACCAUCGUUUUUCCACUUUAUCAGCUGCAAGACACCCCUGUAAUCAAGAUCAAGAAAGAGCUUUAGGUACCCAAACUAUGUUGGGUCCUUUAGGGUUAGUACUUGAUGUUCCUUUUGGAACCCAAACUUUCUUGAAUUUAAUCUUUUGAUUAUUACUUAAUUUAUUUUGACUGGACUUUCUAUAGUUACAUUCAUAUGCUCUAUGUCCUAAUUUAUUGCAGCAAUGACAAGUAAUAUUUUCAUUUUUAGCUUUUACAAAAAUGUUCUUUAAGAAUUUUUGUUUCCUAUUUAUUUUAUAUCCUAAACCAGCCUUAUCAAAUACAGCUUUUUGACUGUCAAGAAUCAUAUUUAGUUUGGUAGAGCUAAGUGUAAACUUAUCUACCAAGGAUUUAUAUUUUUCAGCAUCUUCUUUUAACUUGAUAUUUUCAGCAAUUAGAUUCUUAGUUUCGUUUGUAAGUUU